UAUGUUAACGUUUAAAAAUAAUCGUUCGCAACAGCAACGAUCUUUAUGUAUAAGCAAGCAAAGUGCAACAGAUCAAGAAGAACCUUGUAGUUCUAGGUUAGAGAAUAUUUUGUUACCAGAAGAUGUGGGUAACUUGACAAUGUCAACAAGCUUUUCAGGUCAAACCCCAUCAAAUAAUGUUGUUAUGAAACUUUUAAGUAAUAUUCUUGCAUCAUGGGAAGAGGUUAAGCAAACUCAAAAGUUUCAUUCUGCAAUGAUAAUUUCUCUGCAAAAACAGCAGUGUAGAUUCCGGAAUUACUAUACAACAACUACCUGCCGGUCUUACUUUACCAUUCCAUUCAUUUUCUGAGGUUGAUAAUGCUGAAGUAUUGCUGAAAGACGAAUAAGUUCAAAAAAUUUGGUUCUUUUUUUAUUAUAUAUGUUUCAUUUUUAGAUUUAUGUUCUGCUUUAAGAUUUUGUAAGCAUAAGAGCAUACCUCCAUUUAUUUGUGUUUGAG